UUCUUCGUAAACUACCGAAAUAUGUUGAAGGAUAAAAUAGGCAGGACUGUGUUGAAAUUGGGGGUAAGAAGGAGAUGAUGGUGACAUUUUGGUGCGACCCCAAAUUGAAAAUCCCCUAAAAUGGAAAUUAAGGCUUCCGCAAAUUCCUUCUGAGUGGCCUUCUAGGCGAGAAAAUUAGGAAUAUCGACAGGUGAAGUAAGCAAUCUUGCAAAUGAAUAAUAUCCGUCGAAGGAAAUGAACUUCGAGGUUGGCAAAUUUACAAAAGGAAAUUGAUUCGAUUUUAAAAGUUUUGUAUUAUAUCAACCAGAUAUGAGUACUAGAAAUAUGUUGCUGUGGAAAAUAAAAUGUGUCUUGGAAUGUACUUAA